rnacentral:snoRNA from 1 species
ACCCUACAGAUUCCUUACCCAUCAUGCUCAACAAUUGUGUGAGUGGUUAUAUAAGGAAGAACAGUAAAGUUUAAACUGACUUAAAUUCUUUUGUGAUACACACGCUUGUUUCAAGUAGAA